AUUAAGCAUAGUGAAUUUCGCGGAACACCACCGGUUACUUUGUAUUAGUGAUUUGUGUUCUAGAAUGGUUCGAUAAUAAUCCUAAUUUACUGCUAGAUCUACUAUUAUGAUAUUUCCUGAGAAUUUUCCUAAACCCGACGUCUUAAUCAUCUGAAUCUACAAUCUCUUUUAUUUCUUGUCUUGUCUUUUACUUUUAUUACAUUCUCUGUUUAGCUUU
rnacentral:sRNA from 1 species